CUUGAAGGGCGGGGAUUCAGGGGAUUGUCCCGAGUCUCUGCGGGUGAAUGCUUGUUGGGAGGUCGAGAGACUGUACAAGACUUAGGACAAGGUGCUGUAACUUUGGGCAAGGCUGCUUCCUUUGGUGGAGAGUGAUUCCCAGAGAGGAACUGAGUCAUGAGCAACGUCCUUUCAGAAGCUGAGGGAGUGACUGUCUAGAUCCUGGGGGUAACUUCCUUGUGCUGCUCCACUUCUCUGCCUAUAAAAAUCUUCCUUUUUGUACAACUCCUUGGAGUGCCUCCCAUCUAGUAAAUAAUGUCUUAUUCACUAGAUGAGAUGCUGCCUGAUUCAUGCAUUAUUGA